UACGUAGGGUGCAAGCGUUAAUCGGAAUUACUGGGCGUGAAGCGUGCGCAGGCGGUGAUGUAAGACAGAUGUGAAAUCCCCGGGCUUAACCUGGGAACUGCAUUUGUGACUGCAUCGCUGGAGUGCGGCAGAGGGGGAUGGAAUUCCGCGUGUAGCAGUGAAAUGCGUAGAUAUGCGGAGGAACACCGAUGGCGAAGGCAAUCCCCUGGGCCUGCACUGACGCUCAUGCACGAAAGCGUGGGGAGCAAACAGG
rnacentral:rRNA from 1 species